rnacentral:rRNA from 1 species
GACGAACGCUGGCGGCGUGCUUAACACAUGCAAGUCGAACGGGAACCUUUAUUUCGGUAAAGGUGAGAGUGGCAAACGGGUGAGUAACACGUAGGCAACCUGCCGACAGGAUGGGGACAACAUUCCGAAAGGAAUGCUAAUACCGAAUGGAGUCCGGGGAUGGCAUCAUCUCCGGAUAAAAGAUGGCCUCUGAAUAUGCUAUCGCCUGUCGAUGGGCCUGCGUCUGAUUAGCCAGUUGGCGGGGUAACGGCCCACCAAAGCGACGAUCAGUAGCCGGUCUGAGAGGAUGAACGGCCACAUUGGGACUGAGACACGGCCCAGACUCCUACGGGAGGCAGCAGUGGGGAAUCUUCCACAAUGGGCGAAAGCCUGAUGGAGCAACGCCGCGUGAGUGAAGAAGGUCUUCGGAUCGUAAAGCUCUGUUGCACGGGACGAAAACCGAGCUUGAGAAUAUUGAGUUUGGGGGACGGUACCGAGCGAG